GACGAACGCUGGCGGCGUGCCUAACACAUGCAAGUCGAACGAGGUCCAAGGAAGCUUGCUUCCUGACGACCUAGUGGCGAACGGGUGAGUAACACGUGAGAAACCUGCCUCGGAGUGGGGAAUAACUCGGGGAAACUCGAGCUAAUACCGCAUAUCUUCACAUGAUCGCAUGAUCGAGUGAAGAAAGAAUUUCGCUCUGAGAGGGUCUCGCGGCCUAUCAGCUUGUUGGUGGGGUAACGGCCCACCAAGGCAACGACGGGUAGCUGGUUUGAGAGAACGAUCAGCCACACUGGGACUGAGACACGGCCCAGACUCCUACGGGAGGCAGCAGUGGGGAAUCUUGCGCAAUGGGCGAAAGCCUGACGCAGCAACGCCGCGUGCGGGAUGACGGCCUUCGUGGUUGUAAACCGCUUUCAGCAGGGACGAAAAUGACGGUACCUGCAGAAGAAGCCCCGGCUAACUACGUGCCAGCCGCCGCGGUAA
rnacentral:rRNA from 1 species